AGUAGAUCAAUUGAAACUAUUGAUCGAAGCAUAUUAUGGAAGAAAGUAAGGGAAAAAAAGGAUGACACCUUUGAUGAAGUGGCCAUACCAGUAAUUGAGAAAAUAGACAAGCUAUUGAAAGAGUCUCAAGAGAAUGGUAGAAGUGUUAGUGGAAGUAAUGAUAUACUUGUGGAAGCAUUGGGUACUCCUGAGUAUAGUGGUCAAGUUAGGGCCAAAGGGAAGCACUACACACCUUGCCAAUAUUUCAAUAGUGCUGCAGAUCGUGCUGUCAGGGAUUUCAUAGCAGCAUCUAAAGAAGAAUAAAGAAUAUUUCAGGCAGAAGUGCUAGCAAAACUGUCUCAAGUAGGAGCUGUUACUCCCCAAUCUGAUGUUAGCAGUUCAAGCAUGAAGCAAAAACAACUUCUCCUACCAAAAGCAGUGGAUAAGCCAAUCCGUAAAGUUGAAGAUGUGACCCCACCAGAAGCAAUAGAACCACAGAAGAAGGUUAGAAAAUGUGAGCUGGCCAUAGGCACCAAGGAAAAUAUAGUGGGAGGUGGAACAAUUAUACUUGAAUGUGGUCCCAACUAUUUAGUAGUUGUUGAUGCUCCUUAUGAUUCAAGUGCACCCCUUCCCAUUCCUAUUCCUGGACAAACUACUACUGUUGGGGCUGCAAUUGGUUACCAAGUUUUGUGGCCAACUGAUUUGGUCAUCAUCCGUACUCCCAUCUUAGCAUCUAAGAAAGCAAAGAAACAAAAAGUAAAUGAAGUUGAAGUCAAAUCCAAGGGUGAAAAACCACAAGAUAUGAAAAUUUUUGAGACAUUGGUUGGCCUCAUGCUGAGUACAUCAAGAACACACCCUAUAAACUUCCCAGAUGAUGUUUUUGGUUAGAGUUUCAAGACCUUCAUGAUGAAAGAAGAUAUGGAAAUGAUAAUAUCAUCAAAAGAAGUGUCAUCCAAUUGUAUUUUAUACUACAUCUGGCAUUUGCAUAGAAAGUUGAUUGAUGCAAAGUAGGCCGAACGAUAUGUUUUUGUCAAUCCAGCAUUGGUCUCAAAAGCUGGAAUGGGAGAGGGAAGCAAGGAAAACAGGUCAAGGGUUAUUGCAGAUCGACUAAAGAAUACAAAGCAUGCUGAAUAUAUGCUUAUUCCAUACAACCCAGAUUUCCAUUGGGUGUUAGUGGCAUUGGAGAUGAAGAAAAUGAUUGCAUAUUACCUUGAUCCAAUGGCCUGUCAACCAUGUGAUGAUCUUAAGGACAUAGUUAACAUGGCAAUGAGAAUCAACCCACCGGAAAAACAGAAAACAUCAAAGAGGGAGCCAACUUGGGUGAAAGUGGUUGUAAGUACUUAUUUGUUUAGAUUAAAAUAUAUUGCUUCACCACUUAAUUUAUGACAAAAUUAGAAAAUGGAUGGUUAUUAAUAUGAUCAUCAAUAAGAUGCUAAAGAAGUAAGAACAUCAUUCUAGUGUUUAUUGCAAUUGUUGAUACUUUUCCCAUAGUGCCCAAGACAACCAGGUAGUGUGGAAUGUGGGUAUUACGUGAUGAGAUAUAUGAAGGAAAUUAUUGCUAAUCCAAACCAACUAACAUCAAAGUUGGCAGUGUUUUCAAUAUGGAUCAUUUUGGGGGUUGCUCUAUUAUGAUUGAUGUAUAGUUGGCAUAUUGAGAGGUGAAGCCAAGUAGACAUGGUUGUACAAAAAGGCAUAGGUCAUUCUAUUAACAACGUCACUACUGCUCUUGAUGAAGGACACCCACAAACAAUUCAAAAUAUAUCAUCAAAAGAAUUUUGAGAUUGAGCAUCUAGAAAGUGAGUUACAACUAUCCUUUUUCACUUGGAAGAAAAAUGAUGUAAAACUAGAUGUAGUGAAGGUUAUGAACAAUUCAAAGUUGAAGAAGAAGUUGUAAAAUUGUUGGUUUUAGUUGUUGAUUAUGUAUGAUGUUUAUGGAUAAAUUGUAAUAGUGAAAAAGGAAGACCAUAUUUGAUACUUUUUGUCAAUGGAGAUUCUUAAAUUAAGUUUUCAUUAUUAAUUUAA